GGACAUCAGGCGUAUCGGUGUGUCUCUGAUUGGCCACCAGAGGAGGAUGGUGAGCAGCAUUCAGAGUCUCCGUCUACAGUUCCUCACCGUCCAACACAACGGAUUCCACAACUAAACCAACCCCCCCCAACAGUCUAGGACUGCACAGACAGACAGAGAGGCCUGGGUGUGUUCAUUCGGGACACACCAAACGGAAAGAAAACAAACUGAAACAGAGAGCGAUUACCCGAACUCGUUCAAUAAGAAACGCUUGCUUCUGAACUUCUAGAUAUUCUCCCGGCGGACUGGUGAACUGUGUUACCCAUGGACUACUAUCAUGGCGUCUAUCCCUGAUCCAGAAGACUUGGGGAUGGAAGUAGUUUCAGCCCACGUCCUAAACAGCACCCUAUUUCCUUUAUGGUGCAGCGUUUAGAACAGACACAUGCGGUAUGAAGCACACGGAGAGACAAGUGUACUGAUGGGUCUUCCUCUAAUCAAGUGGACGGAGACCGACUGAAACAAGACUCUCAGUUUAGAGACCACUACUUUUGACAAAAUGGGAUGAUAAAAUGUGUCUUAUUUAUUUCCUUGUUCAUUUAUCAAGCAGCAGUUCACUGGAGAUUCUGACAAACUGGAAGAGAAAGGACAAUGUGGAGGAGAUUCUGACCAACUGGAAUAGAAAGGACAAUGUGGAGGAGAUUCUGAUCAACUGGAAUAGAAAGGACAAUGUGGAGGAGAUUCUGAUCAACUGGAAGAGAAAGGACAAUGUGGAGGAGAUUCUGAUCAACUGGAAGAGAAAGGACAAUGUGGAGGAGAUUCUGAUCAACUGGAAUAAAAAUGACAAUGCGGAAGAGAUUUUGGAGCAAAAGAGAAGACAAAUGAAUGUCAUCUGAUUUUAUAAAUGUAUAGUCCAUCAUCAACCAUAAUAUAUAUGAUGUAUUUGUGCAAAAGUAAUGUUCUGUGAAAAAGACUUGUUUAGUUUGAAUAGACAGCCUUGUUUAGUUUGAAUAGACAUCCUUGUAUAGUUUGAAUAGACAGCCUUGUAUAGUUUGAAUAGACAGCCUUGUUUAGUUUCAAUAGACAGCCUUGUUUAGUUUGAAUAGACAGCCUUGUUUAGUUUGAAUAGACAUCCUUGUUUAGUUUGAACAGACAUCUUUGUUUAGUUUUCAUCCACAAUCUAUAUCUUUACUCAGCAAUAUGCAGUUUCCUUAGCUGACAAGUCUGUUUCUGCUAUGUCACACUUCGUCACUCAUUGCCCUGCCUUGUUUGGCUUGACAAGGACAAAGUAGUCAAGGGCAACAACAGAUCUGGGACCAGGCUACAGUUUCCUCACUUUAUAGAACACAAAGAAGAGUGCAGCUCAACUCCACAACAAAUCACCAACCGAAAACAACCUCAAGACGUACCAUAAGAAACACUUUACUUUGACUGCAGUACAAUCCAUAGUGCUUGAGCAUCGAGAACAGGGCUCUCCAGCCCUGUUCCUGGAGAGAUACCUUCCUGUAGGUUUUAACUCCAACCCUGUUCCUGGAGAACAUACCUUCCUGUAGGUUUACACGCCAACCCUGUUCCUGGAGAGCUACCCUCCUGUAGGUUUACACUCCAACCCUGUUCCUGGAGAGAUAACCUCCUGGAGGUUUUAACUCCAACCCUGUUCCUGGAGAGAUACCCUCCUGUAGGUUUUAACUCCAACCCUGUUCCUGGAGAGAUACCCUCCUGGAGGUUUUAACUCCAACCCUGUUCCUGGAAAGAUACCCUCCUGAAGCGAAAACCUUCUGGACGGUAGCUAUUCAGGAACAGGGUUGGAGAGGCCUGAAUAUUCUAUAUUUUUCUGUCCUGUUGUUCUGGGAUGAGGUACUAAUGUAGGUUAAUGUAUUAGGGACCAAGGGCCGUUGGAAAACACGAUGGAACCAUGGUAGUAAAUACAAAACUUUAACUUUAAA
rnacentral:lncRNA from 1 species